rnacentral:rRNA from 1 species
UACGGGGGGGGCUAGCGUUGUUCGGAAUUACUGGGCGUAAAGGGCGCGUAGGCGGUCUGCUAAGUUGGAUGUGAAAACUCUGGGCUUAACCCAGAGCCUGCAUUCAAUACUGACAGGCUAGAGUUCUGGAGGGGAUAGCGGAAUUCCUGGUGUAGCGGUGAAAUGCGUAGAUAUCAGGAGGAACACCGGUGGCGAAGGCGGGUCUCUGGGCCGAUACUGACGCUGAGGAGCGAAAGCGUGGGGAGCAAACAGG